rnacentral:rRNA from 1 species
AAGGCUUGACAUGGGCCGGACCGGGCUGGAAACAGUCCUUCCCCUUUGGGGCCGGUUCACAGGUGGUGCAUGGUUGUCGUCAGCUCGUGUCGUGAGAUGUUGGGUUAAGUCCCGCAACGAGCGCAACCCUCGUUCCAUGUUGCCAGCGCGUAAUGGCGGGGACUCAUGGGAGACUGCCGGGGUCAACUCGGAGGAAGGUGGGGACGACGUCAAAUCAUCAUGCCCCUUAUGUCUUGGGCUUCACGCAUGCUACAAUGGCCGGUACAAAGGGUUGCGAUACUGUGAGGUGGAGCUAAUCCCAAAAAGCCGGUCUCAGUUCGGAUUGGGGUCUGCAACUCGACCCCAUGAAGUCGGAGUCGCUAGUAAUCGCAGAUCAGCAACGUGCGG